UCCUUGUGGCGACUGACGGCGUGAACAACAAACCCACACAGCUGCUUCUCCAACACCUCCACCACGGCCGGAGCGUUCCCCUUCUUCCCCUGGCCCUCCAUCGCCUGCUGGAUGCAGCCCUGAGGCACCGGCUGUGGUUUGGUGCUGUACGACACCACCAGGUUGAUGUUGUUCACCUGCAGCACCUCGAACCAGUUCUUCCCCGCCACGUGGUGGAAAUGCUCCCCUGCUCUCCAGUUCCGGAGGUGUUUGGCAUCUAGUUGCGCUUGCUCUGGGAAAGCAGCGAUGCACAACUCGAUGGUGGUCUUCAUCCUGGACUCUACUUCUUCAAUUUUGCUGCUCCACUCUUGGAUUUUGUCAUCUUCUUCAUCUUGGCGCUGGGUUAAGGCACAGUGGCCCAGUAGAGCAAUCAGGCCCAGACAGAAGAGCUCCUUCAUCCGGACACAGAAAUCUUCCAGGAGACGACGGUUCCUCGUUACAUACCUGGAAAACAAAAUAACUAUUUACAUGUAUGUCAUAUAGUGCAACAACCAGAGAAGCAUGCAGUGUUGUUGACAAAGACAUAGGAGAACCAAAGAACUGCAAUUAAUCAAAAACAGAAUCAAAUAUAACAACGUACCUUUCCACUAACUCUAAAACGGACUCUCCAAAGCUGUUUGUCCCCAUCAGAGCGUCAUACAGCACAAACAGGUUCUUCUCUCCUCCGGUUUUGGCAAAGUGCUCCACAAAAAGUCUGGUCUUCACUUCCCUGAACUGCGGUUUUGCCUCCAAGAUGUCCAUAUACUUCCGAAACUGGUUCCUAAUGUUCUCCUCCACAGAGAAGUACUGGGAAUCCAGUCUCCCCUUCUUGAUCUCGCAGUCAAUGUCUUCCAGUUGUGUGGAGAGCACGUCAAGCUUGUUCCUCACCGCCAGGAACUGCUCCUUGACGUAGAAGACCUCUUUGCUGAGGACAUUGUCUAAGGCCAGGCGGAGGACGGGAGCGGCGGCCUCACAGAGCGGGAAGAGCUCGCCCACAGCGCUGGCCAACACCUCGGACCCCUUCUCAAACAUGUCCAUCGCCGCCUCGAUGGCCUCCUUCUUCUGGGCCACAGCCCUCUCAAGUGGACUGCUCAUGGUCUGAGACACAUAGGAAUAACACCUGGUGUCAAACAUAGAAGAAGGAUGUGAUACAAUUGGAGUCUUAUUCUGUUUAUUCAUGAAAAAAUACAGUUUUUUGUGAGCAGUUGAAUGCAAGAAGUGUUUCCCUGUAAAAACCUCAGAUUGUUUUUUUAUCUAUUAACUGCUACGGUAGCUGUACCUCUUCUAGCCUCUAUUUCACCAAAAAGAAAGCAAAGUUCAAAUAUGAGGGCCAAAUAAACAACACUAUAAUUGUGUAACAGAGCAACUUACUAAAAGUAAAUGCCAAAUAAAAGAGAAGUUAAAUGAUUUUCAAAGACUCUUGAUCUCAUUUUUCUCUGGAGAUAAUUUCCCAUAAAGCAAACAGUAUGAAGAAGCUUUCCUCUUUAUUACAGAAGUUAUAAAAUACAUUGGUGAACAGUUAUUCCAUUAUUUCAGAGCUGAAAUACUUAGUCAAUUUGUCAACAGACGCUUGCUGCUCCUCUAAUGAGAGGAUUUGCUGUUUUUCUUUGUCUCAUGUGAUGAUCUUUGACUAUUUUUGGACAUUUCAUACAAUUCAAACAAUUGGCAAAUAAUAAUAAAAUAGACAUUAACGCAG